GGUUGGUCAGAUGAGAAAUAAAUCUUAACCAAGCAUUUGGCCUCUCUUAUUGGAACUUUACUAAAACAAAUGGUUUGAGUUAAUGUUUAAUGUGGUAGAAAUUGCUGUUCUCCAUAGGAUUUUUUCUGAUAUGUGCUGGUUGGUACUGGAGAGUAGAAAAAGAGAAACAUAUUCUCGCCCAUAUAUUUCCCCUUCAAUGCAUGGGCAAUUCGUU
rnacentral:misc_RNA from 1 species